AGAGUUUGAUCCUGGCUCAGGAUGAACGCUAGCGGCGUGCCUAACACAUGCAAGUCGAACGUGAAGAAGCCCUCGGGCUUCUGAAAGUGGCGGACGGGUGAGUAAAUCGUAGGUGACCUGCCUUUGAGUGGGGGAUAACCAUUAGAAAUGAUGGCUAAUACCGCAUGGUUUUGGGAAGUAGGGAUAUUUGCCAAAUAAAGCUUCGGCGCUCGGAGAGGGGCCUGCGUCCGAUUAGGUAGUUGGUGGGGUAAAGGCCUACCAAGCCGAUGAUCGGUAGCUGGUCUGAGAGGACGAUCAGCCACACGGGAACUGAGACACGGUCCCGACUCCUACGGGGGGCAGCAGUGAGGAAUAUUCGGCAAUGGGGGCAACCCUGACCGAGCAACGCCGCGUGGAGGAUGACGGUUUUUGGAUUGUAAACUCCUUUUCUGUGGGAAGAGCAAGGACGGUACCACAGGAAUAAGUCACGGCUAACUACGUGCCAGCAGCCGCGGUAAUACGUAGGUGGCAAGCGUUAUCCGGAAUUACUGGGCGUAAAGCGCACGCAGGUGGUUUGCUAAGUUCGACGUGAAAGCGCCUGGCUUAACUGGGCGAGGUCGUUGGAGACUGGCAGACUAGAGGUGAGGAGAGGGGUGUAGAAUUCCCGGUGUAGUGGUGGAAUGCGUAGAUAUCGGGAGGAAUACCAGUGGCGAAAGCGGCACCCUGGCCUUGGCCUGACGCUCAUGUGCGAAAGCGUGGGGAUCAAACAGGAUUAGAUACCCUGGUAGUCG
rnacentral:rRNA from 1 species